GUUACUGCACAUACCCGAGACGCAGCUGACGCCACAUGCAAAAGUAACUGCGUGCAAACGAGACACUGAAGAAAAGGAUACACAGUAAUGAUGACAAUAUUAACAAUUAUGAAUAUAAUAACAAUAAUGUUAAUAGUAACAAUAAUAAUAAUAUUAUUGUUAUUAUUAUUAUAUUAUCAUUAUUAUUACUGUUUUAUUAUGAUAGCAACAACGUCAAUAAUGAUUAUAAUUCAUCGUCAUCACCAUCAUUGUCAUCAUUAUUUAACAUUUCUGGACUUGGAUUAUACAGUAAGUCUGGAUUCUUUAUUAUAUUAUAUAUUAUAAUUCUUUAUGUAUUCAAAUCGUGUCGCACAUUGCAUGUCACCUGUUUUGAGCAGGUUGAAGUGAGCAGUGAUGAAGGAUGAUCACUGCUCUCUAGGUUUUAUUGGGUAAGUCCUUGUAGAUCUGUGUCGCUGAUAUAUUUUUUACUGUAUAAUGAUUUUUGUGUUCCCCUUCUCUGUGUCUAUGCCUGAGUCCCCAGGGCUGUUGUAAACAGGCGUAACACCACCUGCCAACCCUGAGGGCCGUAGUGCUGUUCUCUGCAGCCGGAGCAGUGAGUUCAGGGAGUAAUUAGUCCACUCUAACAUAUUGGUGCAAUUCAAGUUGCACCAAUCAAUUUAUAAUUUGAAGUGAUAAAUAGCAGGGGAUGGGGAGGAAAGGGGGUCAGCUUUCUGAGUAAAGCAUAUCCACUGUGACAGCAUCAUGACAACUGUGUUUUCUAACCACAUUGCAUUUCUAUGAAUUCUGUAUGUAACCAUAACACUAGAAAAUACACAUAUUUCAGGAAUUGCUUCUUUAAUAAAGAAUGAGAUGUUUUUUCCAGCCUCCGGGCCUCCCAGCUCCAGCACAACCACAACUGCACCACACUCAGCGUCUCCUGGAUCUCAGUUUGACUGCUCUUGAAACAAUGCUCUCUAAAUACCAUGCAACCAUAGAGAUCACAAAAAAUGUCCAUCCCAGGGUCGGGGGGCAAAUAAAGCCACCACAGGGUAACAUUGUCACUCUCAAAGAGAGGUACAAAUGAGAUAUGGCUCUUAUUGUGUGCUUGAACAUUAAAUCCAAGGUGGGUGCAGGAGAGCUCCAGUGGAAUGCAGAGUGGACACUGUGGGUUCUGUUGAGUCACUCCCCCAAAUAAAUGGCAACAGUGAGGCCUAUAAGAGACCCCCGCAGUGUGACCUGGAGCGUUUCACUCCUGCUACUGGAGCAGCUGUACACCAUCGCUCCUGGAACACAAUCUGAAGCAACAUCCGGCUGCAGGUGUUUGGGUUUUUUUGGUCUGUUUAUUUCCAGAUCAAGCUAUGAAAUGGGUGGAGUCAAAAGAAACAUCCUCCUGUACUCAUUGUGCUGCUGCUAUGUGAUCCCACAGUAUCUCUGCACAGGACUUCAUUCUCAGACUGUGCGGUUUUCAUCUCAAGUCAGUAGACAUUUGGAGCAGCAGGCCAUGUGCCCUCAGAUAAGCGUCGGGGAGGAUCGUUUCCCAGGUGGAUUCACAAAAACUGAGCCUAGUUUGUCUUUUUAGUAUCUUGAUAUUUACCCUGCAUUCAACUGCAUAUUGCUAUAGUCUAUGUAAAAUAUUACAGAUUUCCAAAAGUAUAAUACAGAUGCUGUAUGUUUGAAGUAAAACUAAGUCA